AUUGAACGCUGGCGGCAUGCCUUACACAUGCAAGUCGAACGGUAACGCGGGGCAACCUGGCGACGAGUGGCGAACGGGUGAGUAAUGCAUCGGAACGUGCCCAGUAGUGGGGGAUAACUGCUCGAAAGAGCAGCUAAUACCGCAUACGACCUGAGGGUGAAAGCGGGGGAUCGCAAGACCUCGCGCUAUUGGAGCGGCCGAUGUCAGAUUAGGUAGGUGGUGGGGUAAAGGCCCACCAAGCCAACGAUCUGUAGCUGGGCUGAGAGGACGACCAGCCACCCUGGGACUGAGACACGGCCCAGACUCCUACGGGAGGCAGCAGUGGGGAAUUUUGGACAAUGGACGCAAGUCUGAUCCAGCCAUGCCGCGUGCGGGAAGAAGGCCUUCGGGUUGUAAACCGCUUUUGUCAGGGAAGAAACGCUCUGGGUUAAUACCUCGGGGUAAUGACGGUACCUGAAGAAUAAGCACCGGCUAACUACGUGCCAGCCGCCGCCGUAACAC
rnacentral:rRNA from 1 species